UAAAAAAUAAGGAGUUCUUUUGUAAAUAGUCCAAAAUAAGGAAAACCCUAGACUUGUUCAAUUAUCGUCAAAUAAGAAGAGUUAGGGUUUAUAAAUUAGGGCUUAAAGAAGUAGGAACAGCAAGCUUUUCUUUGAAAUGGCCGGUCUUGGCUGGACGGUGACGAAUUGAUCAGAAUUGAACGGCGAUCUUCUAUCUGAAAUCGCCAAUCGGAUUAAUUGCCUGAGAGAUUUUAUCAUCUUUGGCGCGGUGUGCAGGUCGUGGCGAUCGGUUGCUUCGCCGGAGAAUUUCAACAAAUCUACCAAAGUUCCGUGGCUUUUGCUUGAUCGAGAUAACGAUGAUCGCAGAAAAUGCCACCAUUUGAAAGCUGAAGCCUGAAACUGUAGCUGUUAGAAAACUAAUAAAAGGGAGAUGUGAAAAACGCUGAAAGUAUCAAGCAAAUAACAGAUCUUCUUGGAAAAUUUGAUGAAAACGUGGAGCUUGACGGUCAAUCCUAUAUCCAAUAACGUUGGAGAUCAUGCUGUUAUUGUGGCAACAGGACAGGUAAUAUCCCUUUCGACAGCUACCGGAUCUAUUUUUUUUCAGUCCUAUAACUGCUGGCACAUAAUUAGUAGUUUCAGCUUGGCAAUUUACUAAUAUUUUGUUUGACCCCUUAAUCAGUCAAACCAAUUCUGAUAAGUAGUUUUGAACACUGCCUCAACGGUAUCGUCUCCUCUCUUGAUUACUACUAUCAAACUUAAAGUGGCAUUGUUGCGUUGUAUAAUUAUUCAUUUAUAAUAUGUAAACUGUAAAGCAAUUAAGUCUGAACAAAGUCCUUACA